CUGGAGGUAUCAGAAGUGCGAAUGCUGACAUAAGUAACGAUAAAGCGGGUGAAAAGCCCGCUCGCCGGAAGACCAAGGGUUCCUGUCCAACGUUAAUCGGGGCAGGGUGAGUCGACCCCUAAGGCGAGGCCGAAAGGCGUAGUCGAUGGGAAACGGGUUAAUAUUCCCGUACUUGGUGUUACUGCGAAGGGGGGACGGAGAAGGCUAUGUUGGCCGGGCGACGGUUGUCCCGGUUUAAGCGUGUAGGUGUGUGUUCCAGGUAAAUCCGGUUCACUUUAACACUGAGGCGUGAUGACGAGGCACUACGGUGCUGAAGCAACAAAUGCCCUGCUUCCAGGAAAAGCCUCUAAGCAUCAGGUAACAUCAAAUCGUACCCCAAACCGACACAGGUGGUCAGGUAGAGAAUACCAAGGCGCUUGAGAGAACUCGGGUGAAGGAACUAGGCAAAAUGGUGCCGUAACUUCGGGAGAAGGCACGCUGACACGUA
rnacentral:rRNA from 1 species